GUAUUUGGAUUUGGACGUGGCUUGAAGGAAACAUGUAACAUCUCAAUUUUAAUUAAUAAAAGUAAUAUUAAUUAGAGGUAGUUCUUGGAAAUUAUCUCAUGAAGAGUACAACGUUAAUUGAUGAUAAGUGAAGGGCAAUCUGGUAAAACAUGUAUGAUUAGUAUAUAAAUCCAACAAUCCCAAUUUCUAUUCAUUCUUCGUACCCACUUUCCAGCAACACCUUUCUUCUUCUACAUCUCUCCUCACGCCAUACCAACAACAACAAUCCACUUCUACAUUUCCUUAACCUCAAAAUGGUCAUUAAACUCACAUGCACUUUGGUUUAAGCCAUGGAAAACCAAAGUAAGACAUUCAUAAAUUUCAUCUUAUUUCUCUUCCUCUCUCACGCAAACCCUCCAUCUCUCCUAGUUUAAAUCCCAAUUUCCACUUCUUCUAGGUCGGAACAUGCAUGUCCAGGACUCUUAUGCAUAAAUAGUAGCUCAAGUUACUCAUGGAUUUUAGUCUCUUGGCCCAUGGGAUUAAGGUAAGAUUCUUGGAGCAAUAAUACAGGUCUGAGAAGUAGUUUUGGAGCGCAAGAGGAAGAAGGACCUAAUUUUUGAAACUGGAGAGGUUUAAUGAAAGUAUUGGAAUUCACAUUGCUAAGCUUUCAAGAGUGUUAUUCACAUAAGAUAACAGAUUGGAUAAGACAAGGGUAAGAAGAAGCUAAGGAUUGAAGCUGAAAGAUUACAUUAGUUUCUUCCUUGUUUUAUUAGAUUAAUCUGUUAUGUGCAUCUCAUUGGAUUAUUUCCGCUGUGUAAUGGAAAUUCAUUUCUCUGUAUUAGUAAUAGAUUUAAGUACUUGUCAAUUUUCAAACAAGUUACUUUGUAAAUUUUAAUGUAUCCGGAUUCAAUUAUGUAUGUUCCUGUCGAUAUUCUAGACAAUUGAUAUGGGGCAUUAUAGAACAAUUUUCUCAUCUUAUAGUGGAAAGUGACUCAAAGAUAUUGAUUGACAUGAUCUCUGACGAUUUCAAGUUUAAUGGGAAUAUCUCAAUUUUAGUUCAACGUAUCAUGAAGCUGCUAAAUAUGAAUUGGCAUGUGCAAAUCAACCAUAACUAGCGCGAAGGAAAUCAGAGUGCUGAUUGGCUUGCUAACUCUAGCUCUAUGGUGGAUCAUUCGAAUUUGAUCAUUUUGGAGUCUGCUCCGAGUGAGCUGCAACAAAUUCUCUUUAAUGAUAUUUCUGGAGUUUGCAUGCCUAGAAAUGUGAAGUUAAUGAUGUAGUUUCUUUCUUUCUUGGGUUUUACCCGCUAUUGUACCAAAAAAUAAGAGGAGCGAUGCAGGUGUGAGAGUAGGAGAUAAGUUUCUUUUUUUAAAUUUUUUUUGGAUCUCUGUUGUUUUUUAUUAUAAUUAUCGGUAUGGAUCGUAACGUUACGUCGAUAUUUUUAGAAGUUACGUUUUACUAAUUAAAAUUGAAAAUGUUUUUAAAGUUAGAUUUAUUUAAUCACUUAUAUGAAUAAGUAACAUAAUUUGUCUCAUGUAUCGUUUAUUUAGUAUUUAUACUAUAUGUAAGGAGAAUACAUGGACUUUUCAUAAUACCAACAAUAUCCUUAAUUUUUUUU